rnacentral:lncRNA from 1 species
GUUCUAUCUCAACGGGGAGAUCCUGGGGAACUACUCAGCUCUCCACGGGGAAGCCGCCCCCCUUCGCUUCCUGCUGAAGUCAGAGCAGGAUGCUGGGAACUACACCUGUGAGGCUGAGAACAUCAUCUCCAGAGCCAGCAGUGGGCCUGUAAAGCUCUCUGUGAAUGGGACCCUUCCAUCCCGGAAUCUACCCUCAGCUCCAGGAGGAGAGCAGUGCCCGCUGUAUGCAAAUGGUAAGGACGUCCAGCAGGACCA